UACGGGGGGGGCAAGCGUUGUUCGGAAUUACUGGGCGUAAAGCGCGCGCAGGCGGCCCUUUAAGUCUGUCGGGCAAACGCCGGGGCUCAACCCCGUGCUCGCCGCGGAUACUGGAGGGCUGGAGACAGGUAGAGGCAGGCGGAAUUCCGGGUGUAGCGGUGGAAUGCGUAGAGAUCCGGAAGAACACCAGAGGCGAAGGCGGCCUGCUGGGCCUUGUCUGACGCUGAGGCGCGAAAGCGUGGGGAGCGAACAGG
rnacentral:rRNA from 1 species